rnacentral:rRNA from 1 species
UACGAAGGGGGCUAGCGUUGUUCGGAAUUACUGGGCGUAAAGCGUGCGCAGGCGGCUUCUCAAGUCAGGGGUGAAAGCCCAGAGCUCAACUCUGGAAUUGCCUUUGAGACUGAGUGGCUUGAGUACGAGAGAGGUGAGUGGAAUUCCCAGUGUAGAGGUGAAAUUCGUAGAUAUUCGGAGGAACACCAGUGGCGAAGGCGGCUCACUGGUCCAUUACUGACGCUGAGGUGCGAAAGCGUGGGGAGCAAACAGG